UCAAGCAAGGUUUCAGCACCUUGAUGAUCAAAUUGAAGGGGUUCAGGCACAGCUUGUAGAGCUAUACUACAAGGAUUAGAAGUAUUUUCAUGCUUUCUUUAUCAGUUUUAAAAUUCUGUAAUGCUGAACAAUUUGUCUUUAUCUUUUGGACUAUUAUGGUUAUGUUUCUGUUUUUUCCCUAUGCUUACAUGUUGUUUGAUGAAUCCAAAGGGGGAGAAAAAUAGCUCACCAUGCUAGGUGAAGCUAGCUGAAACAGGAAGUUCAAUUCUGCACCUUAAAACCAUUUCACAUGUUAUGCAAUGUUCUGUUUUUCUGGUUUAGUAUUUGAUGCAGUACAGGUUCUUAAAGCAACAAAGCUAUGGGGAUUUGUCUCCAUCAAACAGGGGGAGAUUGUUGAAGAUGGUUGCUGCCCCUUCAAGACAUGUGUUUGAUGAAGACUUUUAUGUACCAUUCGUGUAUAUUUCCUUUUGCUUUAAGAAUGUCUUAGGUAGAGUUUAGAGGUUGUUUAAGAGUGGGCUUUUUGCUGAGUAACUCACCUCCUAACCACUGGCCAUGUGAUAAGAACAAGCAUAAGGUUUCUUAAAUCGUUUUUCACAUGUUUUACAAAAAACACGUUUACCGCAUAAAAAUAAAUAUGUUCUUUUCUAAAUAAACAGAUUCAUUUUUAA
rnacentral:lncRNA from 1 species